AACGAACGCUGGCGGCAUGCCUAACACAUGCAAGUCGAACGAGACCUUCGGGUCUAGUGGCGCACGGGUGCGUAACGCGUGGGAACCUGCCCUUAGGUUCGGAAUAACUCCCCGACAGGGGUGCUAAUACCGGAUAAUGUCUUCGGACCAAAGAUUUAUCGCCUUUGGAUGGGCCCGCGUUGGAUUAGCUAGUUGGUAGGGUAAAAGCCUAUCAAGGCGACGAUCCAUAGCUGGUCUGAGAGGAUGAUCAGCCACACUGGGACUGAGACACGGCCCAGACUACUACGGGAGGCAGCAGUGGGGAAUAUUGGACAAUGGGCGAAAGCCUGAUCCAGCAAUGCCGCGUGAGUGAUGAAGGCGUUAGGGUUGUAAAGCUCUUUUACCCGGGAUGAUAAUGACAGUACCGGGAGAAUAAGCUCCGGCUAACUCCGUG
rnacentral:rRNA from 1 species